UACGUAGGGUGCGAGCGUUGGCCGGAAUUAUUGGGCGUAAAGAGCUUGUAGGCGGUUUGUCGCGUCUGCUGUGAAAAUCCGAGGCUCAACCUCGGACUUGCAGUGGGUACGGGCAGACUAGAGUGUGGUAGGGGAGACUGGAAUUCCUGGUGUAGCGGUGGAAUGCGCAGAUAUCAGGAGGAACACCGAUGGCGAAGGCAGGUCUCUGGGCCACUACUGACGCUGAGAAGCGAAAGCAUGGGGAGCGAACAGG
rnacentral:rRNA from 1 species